UACGGAAGGCAGCAGUGGGGAAUAUUGCACAAUGGGCGCAAGCCUGAUGCAGCCAUGCCGCGUGUAUGAAAAAGGCCUUCGGGUUGUAAAGUACUUUCAGUCGUGAGGAAGGUGUUAAGGUUAAUAACCUUAGCAAUUGACGUUAGCGACAGAAGAAGCACCGGCUAACUCCGUGCCAGCAGCCGCGGUAAUACGGAGGGUGCGAGCGUUAAUCGGAAUUACUGGGCGUAAAGGGCACGCAGGCGGUUAAUUAAGUUGGAUGUGAAUCCCCGGGCUAACCUGGGAAUGGCAUCAAGACUGGUUAGCUAGAGUCUUGUAGAGGGGGUAGAAUUCCAUGUGUAGCGGUGAAAUGCGUAGAGAUGUGGAGGAAUACCGGUGGCGAAGGCGGCCCCUGGACAAAGACUGACGCUCAUGUGCGAAAGCGUGGGGAGCAAACGAGGAUUAGAUACC
rnacentral:rRNA from 1 species